rnacentral:rRNA from 1 species
AGCAGUCGCCACGGUAAUACGUAGGGUGCGAGCGUUAAUCGGAAUUACUGGGCGUAAAGCGUGCGCAGGCGGUUCGUUAAGACAGAUGUGAAAUCCCCGGACUUAACCUGGGAACUGCAUUUGUGACUGGCGAGCUAGAGUAUGGCAGAGGGGGGUAGAAUUCCACGUGUAGCAGUGAAAUGCGUAGAGAUGUGGAGGAAUACCGAUGGCGAAGGCAGCCCCCUGGGCCAAUACUGACGCUCAUGCACGAAAGCGUGGGGAGCAAACAGGAUUAGAUACCCCAGUAGUCCCUGUCUCUUAUAC